AACCAUAGAAACCUGCGGAGUACCUGCGGAAGGAUCAUUACCGAGUUUACAACUCCCAAACCCCUGUGAACAUACCUAUACGUUGCCUCGGCGGAUCAGCCCGCGCCCUGUAAAAAGGGACGGCCCGCCCGAGGACCCUAAACUCUGUUUUUAGUGGAACUUCUGAGUAAAACAAACAAAUAAAUCAAAACUUUCAACAACGGAUCU
rnacentral:misc_RNA from 1 species